AGUUAUCGCCGGGGUUUCCUCCUCCCAUUUUUCCCUGGCGAUCAAAGACCGGACGUCCUCCUCCCCCCAUUGUCCGGUCUUCCCCAUAAGCACCCGUCGCUCCUCCCGCGACGGGUGUUUUUG
rnacentral:sRNA from 2 species